rnacentral:lncRNA from 1 species
AGAAUACUAACAAUACCAACUAUUGUCAUUAGUUAUUAGAGGAAUGGCAGCUAUAAUUGUGGACUCGUAUGGUUGAUGGAAAGUUGAGAGAGAAAAAGACACUUUCUGGGAAGUAAAGAGGAGACAUCUUAUUUGGUUGGAGUUUUAAAAGAGAGAGUAAAAAAAGCUCUUCCCAUGAAAAGUUACUUUCUAUAUUUUAUGAAAAAUAAAAACCCAUGGGGGAGG